CCCAGCUUCUAAAACUCUCCCCCGCCGUUUCUCUUUACUCUCUCAUCCCUCUCAAACGCUCGACCCCGGAGACCAAAGACAGAACAAUACACCAUACGCCUAAGCUUUCUCCUCAAGCCAUCACUCACGACAGCCACCAAGGCCGAGACUAAGCCAAACCAAAUAUCUUACAACAGAAACCAAAACCGAAGGACUAAAACGAACCCAACCUCAUUGCUAAACCACGGGGCCACCGCGACCUCCAACGUUUCAACGGACUCCGAUGAAGUCCCUAAAGCCGAGAAAGGCUAACUCUAAGGUUUCACGCAUGGAUGUGGACAGCACUGAAUCAAACAUGCAUCUAUGGUGACUGGCGGGUCAGAUCUUGUAAUCGGGUUUGGAUUCACUCGUGGGGGUGUAGGAAUUGGCAAGACCAAUGCAGUUUAAUCAAUUAGCUGUUGGAAUCUCUAUUGGGGUACGACAUAUGCAGUACUUGGUUAACAUGAGAGGCCUGGGUGAAGCGCGAGGGUGCAGGAUUGCUUUUGUCGUAGUGGACUUGAGCUUCAGGCCUACAUAAAAUAAUAUAAUUUGUAUUAAUAAUAAUAAUAUAUAAUUAAUAUUUAUAAUAAUUUUUAAGUCCGGUUAAAAACGAGUGUUUACAGAUUUGUUAUUUUUUAAUGUUGGAUAAUUAAUUUAUUGGGCUCAUAGUG